GCCGGUGACCAUAGCGGUGGGGAAACACCCGAUCCCUUCCCGAACUCGGCAGUUAAGCCCACCGCGCCGAUGAUAGUGUAACAGCGCGAAAGUAGGUCGUUGCCGGCU
rnacentral:rRNA from 1 species